rnacentral:rRNA from 1 species
CCUACGGGCGGCAGCAGUGGGGAAUAUUGGACAAUGGGGGCAACCCUGAUCCAGCCAUGCCGCGUGUGUGAAGAAGGCCCUCGGGUUGUAAAGCACUUUCAGUGAGGAAGAACGCCUGGUGGUUAAUACCCAUCAGGAAAGACAUCACUCACAGAAGAAGCACCGGCUAACUCCGUGCCAGCAGCCGCGGUAAUACGGAGGGUGCGAGCGUUAAUCGGAAUUACUGGGCGUAAAGCGCGCGUAGGUGGCUUGAUAAGCCGGUUGUGAAAGCCCCGGGCUCAACCUGGGAACGGCAUCCGGAACUGUCAAGCUAGAGUGCAGGAGAGGAAGGUAGAAUUCCCGGUGUAGCGGUGAAAUGCGUAGAGAUCGGGAGGAAUACCAGUGGCGAAGGCGGCCUUCUGGACUGAAACUGACACUGAGGUGCGAAAGCGUGGGUAGCAAACAGGAUUAGAUACCCGUGUAGUC